rnacentral:rRNA from 1 species
GACGAACGCUGGCGGCGUGCUUAACACAUGCAAGUCGAACGUGAUUUUUGUGGAAAUUCUUUCGGGAAUGGAAAUGAAAUGAAAGUGGCGAACGGGUGAGUAACACGUGAGCAACCUACCUUACACAGGGGGAUAGCCGUUGGAAACGACGAUUAAUACCGCAUGAGACCACAGAAUCGCAUGAUAUAGGGGUCAAAGAUUUAUCGGUGUAAGAAGGGCUCGCGUCUGAUUAGCUAGUUGGAAGGGUAAAGGCCUACCAAGGCGACGAUCAGUAGCCGGUCUGAGAGGAUGAACGGCCACAUUGGAACUGAGACACGGUCCAAACUCCUACGGGAGGCAGCAGUGGGGAAUAUUGCACAAUGGGGGGAACCCUGAUGCAGCGACGCCGCGUGAGCGAAGAAGGUUUUCGAAUCGUAAAGCUCUGUCCUAUGAGAAGAUAAUGACGGUAUCAUAGGAGGAAGCCCCGGCUAAAUACGUGCCAGCAGCCGCGGUAAUACGUAUGGGGCGAGCGUUGUCCGGAAUUAUUGGGCGUAAAGGGUACGUAGGCGGUUUUUUAAGUCAGGUGUGAAAGCGUGAGGCUUAACCUCAUUAAGCACUUGAAACUGGAAGACUUGAGUGAAGGAGAGGAAAGUGGAAUUCCUAGUGUAGCGGUGAAAUGCGUAGAUAUUAGGAGGAAUACCGGUGGCGAAGGCGACUUUCUGGACUUUUACUGACGCUCAGGUACG